GAUGAACGCUGGCGGCGUGCCUAAUACAUGCAAGUCGAGCGAAGCGGGGACGGGUGAGUAACACGUGGAUAACCUCCUAUAAGACUGGGAUAACUUCGGGAAACCGGAGCCAAACCGGAUACUUAGAGAUGGUUCCGUGCUGCAUUAGCUAGUUGGUAAGGUAACGGCGUACCAAGGCAACGAUGCAUAGCCGACCUGAGAGGGUGAACGGCCACACUGGAACUGAGACACGGUCCAGACUCCUACGGGAGGCAGCAGUAGGGAAUCUUCCGCAAUGGGCGAAAGCCUGACGGAGCAACGCCGCGUGAGUGAUGAAGGUCUUCGGAUCGUAAAGCUCUGUUAGUAGGGAGGCGGUACCUGAACAGAAAGCCACGGCUAACUACGUGCCAGCCGCCGCGGUAAUUC
rnacentral:rRNA from 1 species